rnacentral:tRNA from 1 species
GCGCCCAUAGCUCAAUUGGUAGAGCAGCGGACUCUUAAUCCGUAGGUUGGGGGUUCAAGUCCCUCUGGGCGUA